rnacentral:tRNA from 1 species
GCCCGAGUGGGCCCGGGGUCGCCUUGUGGACAGGGGGUCGAGGGUUCGAAUCCCUCUUCGGGCU